CUCAGACCAAACUAAAACACACGCAUACAACAACAGUAGCCAUUCUUUCUCUGCAGAUCUAAAAACACAUAGAAACUCAAAUCCUCGAACUUCCAUCUCAAACAUACAGACAUCCACAAUCAAUCACUCCAUACCCUUCCUCUCGUGCUCCUCUCUGUCUCGUUACAGCCAGCCGGCGACUAACUGGCCGAUGUCGGCUGUUCUCUGGGUGCCGGCGGUACUGUUUUCUCCGUCUACCGACCUCAUCUAAACCCUCCUACACCCCCUUCAUCAGUAUAGAGAUGACCACCACCACCACCACCACCAUCGGGUGGUGGUGAGCGACGGAUGGACCGAGAAAUCGAGGAGAGAGUGAGAGAAAGCUGAGAGAUUGAGAGUGAAAGAGAGACCGGAGGAGGGUGGUGACGGCGACAGCCGGCGCCGUCUGCGGAGGAGCGAUGGAGGAGACAAUGAUGGUGGUGGGUUAUUUUUCAACAUAUUUCUGAUAUUGAAGAUGGUGGUAGUGGUGCGACACCACCGUCGGAAACCUCUGGCCGACUGAUGGUGACGACCGUGGAGGUGGUUUCGGGUCAAGAUAUUCAAGCUCGGUUUAAAUUUCGUACUCGUAUUCUGAUUUGUUUCAAGGUUUGGUUCGGGUUACUCAGAUUCACGUUGGUUUGGGGCUUACAAGAAAACAAGGGUGAUUCGGGCAGUGAUUCAGUUCAACAGGUUCGGAUGUAGGUUAAAACGAGUAAAUUCUGCUUCCGUUCGGGUCAACUCGGUCAAACCGAGUCGACUCGGUCAACACCCGAGUCAACUCGGGUCAACAGGGGUAAAACAGGUCAACGCCAGUCAAACAUCAACUCGGGUCAACCCUUGGUCAAAGAUGGUCAAACUCGGUCAACUGAGGUCAAACUCAGUCAACACGAGACGCGGAAUGCUUUAGUUGCACGCUAGCGAGGUCACGUUCUUGGAACGGCACUACGGAAACACGCUAGGCUAGCUUUGCACCGGAAUGUCAACGUUACAUUUUUCAAACUAUGGAACGGUUGGAAUAGGAGAACCCACGAGAUUUCGAGUACCUAGCAGGCGUUCACUGUUUAGAAGUCUUAGCCUUUUGCUUCCGCUGUGCAAUGAAGAUACCGGUCCAGUCACGCCAAGCUCUGAUAUUUCGGGGUGUGACAGAUUGGUAUCAGAGCUAUAG